rnacentral:sRNA from 1 species
ACACACACACACACACACACACACACACACACACGUGUGUACACACUAAAUAAACAUAAGAAUUUUGUAAUGUCAGCCUAUCUUAUUCUCUAUCAAGAGAUAGCUUAGAUGUAUUGUUUGCAUAUUGUCUCAUAAAGAAUUGUUUGGAUAAGCCAGUUAUAGUGGCACACACCUUUAGUCUUAGCAGUGGGGAGACAGAGGCAGGUAGAUCACUGAAUUCUAAACCAGCUUGGUCUGCAUAGUAACCAAAGCUUCAGGCCAGCCAAUGACAAACAGUCAUAUUCUGUCUCAAAAAAAUUUUUUUGUUUGAAUAUACUUUAAAGAAUUCACUGAUAAUAAAUGCAUCAUGUAUAUUAUAUGCUGAUACUCACUUGGAAAUUAUAAUGUAUAAAUAUAUGUGAUUAUUUUUAAAGUGCUGAUUUCUUACAGAAUCUCUGACUUUUCAUUCUGCACUUAUGAUUAUAACCAAUGAGUAUUGGCAAACUGUACCUCCAAGUCUCUUACUCUCUCAAGACUUCAAGCAAUCUUCUUCAUGUAAUCUGCUCUGAGUGCAAUCCUGUCCUAGCUAGGCAUCCUACCUACCUGGCAUUUCUUAUUCUUUUUUGGAGCAAACUAUGUGUUUGGUUUGUGUGCCUACACAGCAUUCUAACAGGGCUUUCCUUCAUUCCAGACUGGUCUGAUGUACUGGCCUUUUGUGCAGCUGACCAACUUCAGCCUUGUCCCUGUGAACUGGAGGACAGCAUACACGGGACUUUGUGGUUUCCUCUGGGCCACCUUCCUCUGCUUUUCACAGCAGAGCGGUGAUGGUACAGUGGAGUCCAUAUUCAUCCUCCUUCGAAGGAAGGAGGCAGGUGACAGGUCCCCAGAGAAGUGAGGUGUCCAGGACUCCCUUCCUAGGACGCAGUUCUAUCUCUCCAUCGCUCUCAAUCAUCUGCAACAAGCUUUCUUCAUUGACCAAUUGUGGACUCCAUCAUGAAGAAUUACUAUUCCAUAGGGCCACUUGAUUUGAAAUUAUCAAUGAUUAUUUUAACUUUUAUCCAAGCCUUUCCCAGUCAAUCCAGUCUGAAAAGUCUUAUUCUCUGGUAUUUUCACUUCUUUAAUGCUUUGGUUAAAAACUACAACAAUGGCAUGUAACAUUUGAGAAUCAUUAAUAGUUCUAAUAGCCAAUUGAAUUUAAAAAAAAAAAAAACCUCCAGUUUUGGUUGUAUUUUUAACCCAAACUCUCAGGCUAUUUCCUACAUACUUUGGAAUCGGAUUGCCUUUUGUUCUUAUAGUAAAUUUUUAUGUAUAUAAAAUUCAGUCAAGAAGGUUGAAUAAUCAGUCCCCCUAUGUAUUAUUAUGCCAACACUAAAAUUCUGUAAGUAGAUGUUUUUAAUCUUCAAAAGGGAAUAGUAUUGGAUAUAUUCUGUAUAGAAUAUUUUAUUGAUACUGCCUACUUUUUUAAAAAGAAGGUUCUCUCUUUGUGUAGCUCAGGCUGGAACUCACUGUGAACCCCAGUGAAGCCUCAUCUCUCCAAGUGCCGAGAUUACAGGCAUGAACCAUUAUAUCUUCCUCUUUUGAUUUUAUAUUGCAGCACCCAAGCACAGGUUUUUAAAAUCGAUGUCUUUUAGCUUUGAGAAGAUACAAUUGACCAAAUACCCAAUGGGACAUUUGAUUUCUGAAUGAAAUUUCUAGAAAACUAAUCAUUUCUUUCCUCUCUAAUGAAGAAGUCUAAUCUGUACUAGACUAGUGUACACAGUUUGUAGCAGCCCUCUUGCCUCCACAUUCUAAAUAUUGAGAUUACAGUCAUGAGUCACCAUGCUUAACCAGGGUCUUACACAGACUAGUGCUCUGCCACUGACUGAAUUCUGGGAUCCUGAUAGUAGUCUUUUAUAAUUCAGUGCUUUAAAAUUCUUUAUCUUUAUACUUCAAAGUGGACACAGCAAUCAUCAGCCAGUUUCCCACAUUUGUUCAGUUAGUCUAAUCUCAGCCAGCCACCUUCAGGUUUCAGAAUCAUGCAAAUAACCAGGCCUGGACAUGUGUGCCUGUCUACUCAGAAAGCUAAUGGAGGGCGAUCAUUUUCGCCAAGGAGUUCAAGACUGGGCUGGAAAAAAUAGCAAGUUUCUGCCUCAAAACCACAAAAAUAAAAGAUUCAAAAGUAUGAGUGUCUUAAGAAAUUUCAGGGCUGGAGAGAUAGCUCAGCGGUUAAGAGCACUGACUGCUCUUCCUGAGGUCCUGAGUUCAAUUCCCAGCAACCACAUGGUGGCUCACAACCAUCUGUAAUGAGAUCUGGUGCCCUCUUCUGGCCUGCAGGCGUACAUGCAGGCAGAACACUACACGUAAUGAAUAAAUUAAUCUUAAAAUAAAUUUCAGCCAUCUCACCUAAAAAUUGUCUCCAUGUCUCUAUUCCUUCUACUGGCAUAUAUGACAAAUUUCAAGAUGUGAAAUACUGAAUGUAUAAGGUCAGUUUUAUAAUUCAUGUUUAAAUUUCUAAGCAAUUAAUUAAUUGUUUGUAAUAUGUAUAAAUUAUAAGCAUGCACCAUCUAAAAGGGUAUAAAUUAUGGAAUGUAAUAGAAAUUAUUGGGGUGGUAUGAAAGUAUAUCCCUGUAUUUUCACUUGUUAAUUGCUAUUCCCUGUUACUUGCUGGCAGGAUUUGGAUAUUGUCAUUUUUAUGGCCCAUCACCAGUUUUCUAUAUGUUAAUUGUUUGUCCUUCCCACCACCCCAGAAAGAUUUUCUGAGACUAUCAUAUUAAAAGGCAAGCUGCCAUGGUGAAGGUCAAGCAGUCCUCAGUGCCAAAGGGCAACCCUAAGAGAUUGAUUGGGCGCUGUCCUGCUACUGAUUGGUUCAAGCUGGAAUGUGGCUUUUUGAUUGAUAAAGAGCUGACCGCUGGAGCUGGGGCAGGAAGUAUGGAGCAUAACUUCAGAGAUGCAGGAGACUUGGGCAGAUCCAAGGGGACUUGGAAGGAGGCAGAAGGGAAGAAGGCGGCAGAAGAGAGCUGGAAGGAGCUGGAAGCAUGAAGUGAGAACCACAUGGAGAGAUGCUGUGGUGGUUUGCCCAUGGGAAGUGGCACUAUUAGGAGGUAUGGCUUGUUAGAGGAAGUGAGUCACUGUGGAGAUGGGCUUUGAGGUCCUAUGCUCAAGCUCUGACCUGUGAGGAGAGUCCCUCCUCCUGGCUGCCUUGGGAGAGAGUCCCCUCUUGUCUGCCUUCAAAAAAGAUUUAGAACUCUCAGCUCCUUCUCCAGUACCAUGUCUGGAUGCUGCCAUGUUCCCCACCUUGAUGAUAAUGGACUGAAACUGUAAGCCAGCAAACAUUAAACGUCCUUUAUAAAAGA